AUGUAGUCCUUUGUAAUCGUAAUAAUAUUACAGGGAAUAACUAUUUAGAGGAAAUCUCGCGGGGGAGAAGCGCUCGUGGCAGCAGCUUAAGAUGAAAUAUAAAAACACUGUUCAAACAGGUCAGACCUCGGCAUUAUCUCAUGGAGGUACUUCAUGUUGAUCAUGUUUUACAUUGUAAAGUAGCCUAAAUAUUAAGUGGCUGUUUGACUGUGCAGUUGUUUUAUCCACACAUGGCCUAAAUGUCUGCAUCCAUAUCAUGUUCUGUUAAAUAAUUGAGCCUAUUCAAACUAACACAGACUUCUGCUCAGCCAACAGAAAGAAAGCAGAUGCCUGUAAAUCAGGUGGUAUAAAAGGUCAUGGAUGUGUAUGUGUGUGUGUGUGUGUGUGUGUAUAUAUAUAUAUAUAUGAUUAUUUAGUUCUCUUUUGUGUCUUUUUUGUCUUUUGGCCCCUUCACACCACAGACCUUGUAACUGUAAGUAGGCAACACUCCAAAGAUUUAUCCAAAUGGUAGUUUAAGUUUUAUACAGAGAGCAUGGCUGGACAGCAGCAGGAUGGUCCCUCAGCUUCCACUGCACAGACUGACACAGUGAGAUGGAUGUUCAGGAAACACCAGAGAUUCAUUCUGUGGAAUUCAUGUGCAACUGUAUAAUUGAAUGUCAAAGUACAAGUUAGAGGUGGUGAUGGUCACAGGUGAAUUAUGUUAACUAUUGGAACAUUAACUGAACUAUCUUUUAUUUGUAGGAAAUAAAGAAGACCAAAUGAAAUGUGUAUCAUGUCUUUAUUUGCUGUGGUGGUGAUGGUGACUUAAACUCUAAAGUGAUUAUUGCAUAUGGUGUCUCUGACUGCUCUGCUGUCCUGGAUAGCUGCAGGUGGAUGGGCUCAUCAUCUGGGUCUUCAGUUUGUAGGGCAGGGUGUUGCUCUCCUCUAAUAGUGGUAAUAUUAUGAAGAACAACACAUGCCACAGUAAUAUCACAGGCCCUCUCAGGGGUCACCCUGAGGAGACGUAGGUGCUGGAAACGGGCUUUCAGCAGGCCUAUGGUCAUCUCCACCCGGGCGCUGGUCCUGCAGUGAGUCCGGUUGAAGUUCUGUUGGGGGCCUGGUUCAGGGUCAGGGUAUGAGGUCAUCAGCCUGGGUUGGCAUGGUAACCUCUGUCAACCAGCAGAAGGCCAUCAAACUCUCCUGUAAUGUAUAGUGGAUACAUCAGAGUAUAUUAAAGGAGGGAGACAAGAGAAUUCUAUUGUGAAAAUCUUUAGGCUGCUGACCACGUUGCAGUCUGUUGCUCAGGUUAGACUCUCCAUAAAUCCUGGAGUCAUGAACAGACCCAGACCACUUGGCCUCCACAUUAGAAAUGAUGUAUGCAGCAUCACAUAUGAUCUGGACAGUGCAGAGAAUGACAGAUGUUGAACUAUGAUGCAGUCUUUAACAUUUAGAAACAGUAGUCAGUCUACCUGUAGCCUACCUGCACAUUUAUGCUGUGAAUGGACUUCUUGUUCAUGAUGUGAGGGAGCUGUGAUGGGGCAACCCGGUCUCACGGGGAUUCGUGAAACUGUCACGUAAGUUUUAGUUUCGGUUUCGUGCGCACCAACACGAUUUCGUCGUGUUUUUCGUGCCGCUCACCACGAAAUGUUUUUCGCUGUGGUAAUCACAUCUGAAAGUGGUUUAUACCGGCGGAUUCAUGACAAUCUAAGCUGUCCAUCGGCGUAUACUGCUUGUGUGAUCGCGUUUGCGGCCGCCGGCCGCCGGACAUUCUUGAAAUUCCUAUGCAAAUUGGUAA